rnacentral:rRNA from 1 species
AGAGUUUGAUCCUGGCUCAGAAUGAACGUUGGCGGCGUGGAUUAGGCAUGCAAGUCGAGCGCGAACCUGUCUUCGGACAGGGGACAGCGGCGAACGGGGUAGGAAUACCUCGGUGACGUACCCCCGGGUCGGGGAUAGCGGCGGGAAACUGCCGGUAAUACCCGAUACUCUGCCUUGAUUUGAACUUGGGGCAGCAAAGGUGUGAUUCCGUCUGGGGAGCGGCCGAGGCCGUAUUAGCUUGUUGGUGGGGUAACGGCUCACCAAGGCGAUGAUGCGUAGGGGGUGUGAGAGCAUGGCCCCCACCACUGGCACUGAGACACUGGCCAGACACCUACGGGUGGCUGCAGUCGAGAAUCUUCGGCAAUGGGCGCAAGCCUGACCGAGCGACGCCGCGUGCGGGAUGAAGGCCUUCGGGUUGUAAACCGCUGUCGGAGGGGAUGAAGUGCACGAGGGUACUCCCUUGUGUUUGACAGAGCCUCGGAGGAAGCACGGGCUAAGUUCGUGCCAGCAGCCGCGGUAAUACGAACUGUGCGAACGUUAUUCGGAAUCACUGGGCUUAAAGGGUGCGUAGGCGGUUUUGUAAGUCAGUGGUGAAAUAUAGCAGCUUAACUGUUAGGGUGCCAUUGAUACUGCAGAACUUGAGUACAGAUGAGGUAGGCGGAAUUGACGGUGUAGCGGUGAAAUGCUUAGAUAUCGUCAAGAACACCUAUAGCGAAGGCAGCUUACUAGGCUGUAACUGACGCUGAGGCACGAAAGUGUGGGGAUCAAACAGGAUUAGAUACCCUGGUAGUCCACACUGUAAACGUUGAUUACUCGCUGUGUGCGAUAUACAGUACGCGGC